ensembl:lncRNA
GUUAUUCUGAUGGGGGUUCUAAUGAGGUAGUUAUUCUGAUGGGGUUCUGAUGAGGCAGUUAUUCUGAUGGAGGUUCUAAUGAGGUAGUUAUUCUGAUGGGGGUUCUAAUGAGGCAGUUAUUCUGAUGGGGUUCUAAUGAGGCAGUUAUUCUGAUGGGGUUCUAAUGAGGCAGUUAGCAGAUUUUCCACUUUUAAGGAGUUCUGACGAGAUCAAUUUGACUUAGUUCCAAUGUUCCACUCAGACAGACAGAACACAGCACAGCAUGCUGUGCACACGUGUGACAGAGCUUCUGUCCUGGAUGCUAUUCAGUGAUGAUUUUAGCAUGUAAAUAUUUGGGGGGACCAAAAACAUGUUGGGAUGCUUGCCAGCAAAGCCACUACACAACACAACACUAAAUAAUACAUUAAUUGGACUAUAACGUUGACAAAACGGUGCCCACAAACUGUUAGGGCCUACAGAAAGAUGUCCCAACAGCAGAGUUCCAACACCUUACCACAGCUACACUUGGCUUUCAGCGGAGCCUUGUCUGGCAGUGAAACAGUUCAUUCAGCC